rnacentral:tRNA from 1 species
UCUUAGGUGACUGAGGUAAUAAGUGUUAGAUUUUUAAUCUAAAGACAGCAAUUUUGCUCCUAAGAG